rnacentral:misc_RNA from 1 species
ACACCUCAACUCUCAUGGCUUGCCAUGAUGAGCUUGGACUUUGGGGGUCUUGCCGGCCUAUGGUUGGCUCCUCUCAAAUGGAUCAGCUUGCCAGUGUUUGGUGGCAUCACAAGUGUGAUAACUAUCUACGCUUGUGGUUUUCCAUCAGGUAACCUUCAGCAAUGGAGGUUCUCUGGAGCUCACAAAUGUCUUUCCUCAGCGAAGACAGCUCUUGAUU